CCUACGGGUGGCUGCAGUGAGGAAUAUUGGUCAAUGGCCGGAAGGCUGAACCAGCCAUGCCGCGUGAAGGUCAGUGCCCUAUGGGCGUUAAACUUCUUUUGUGCGGGAGCAAUAAUGGUCACGUGUGGCCAGACGAGAGUACCGUACGAAUAAGCAUCGGCUAACUCCGUGCCAGCAGCCGCGGUAAUACGGGGGAUGCAAGCGUUAUCCGGAUUUAUUGGGUUUAAAGGGUGCGUAAGGUGGAAGGUAAGGUAGCGGGGAAAUGCCCCCGCUCAACGGGGUGAAGUGCCAUUGAUACUGCCUGGCUGGAGUGCGGAUGAGGUGGGAGGAAUGUGUGGUGUAGCGGUGAAAUGCAUAGAUAUCACACAGAACACCGAUUGCGAAGGCAUCUCACGAAUCCGCGAUUGACGCUGAUGCACGAAAGCGUGGGUAUCAAACAGGAUUAGAUACCCGGGUAGUC
rnacentral:rRNA from 1 species